CCUACGGGAGGCUGCAGUGGGGAAUAUUGCACAAUGGGCGCAAGCCUGAUGCAGCCAUGCCGCGUGUGUGAAGAAGGCCUUCGGGUUGUAAAGCACUUUCAGCGGGGAGGAAGGCGGUGAGGUUAAUAACCUCAUCGAUUGACGUUACCCGCAGAAGAAGCACCGGCUAACUCCGUGCCAGCAGCCGCGGUAAUACGGAGGGUGCAAGCGUUAAUCGGAAUUACUAGGCGUAAAGCGCACGCAGGCGGUCUGUCAAGUCGGAUGUGAAAUCCCCGGGCUCAACCUGGGAACUGCAUUCGAAACUGGCGGGCUAGAGUCUUGUAGAGGGGGGUAGAAUUCCAGGUGUAGCGGUGAAAUGCGUAGAGAUCUGGAGGAAUACCGGUGGCGAAGGCGGCCCCCUGGACAAAGACUGACGCUCAGGUGCGAAAGCGUGGGGAGCAAACAGGAUUAGAUACCCCGGUAGUC
rnacentral:rRNA from 1 species